AUGGCUUGCGCCUUCUUCUUCGACGCCGAGCCGGUCAGCGAGCCCGGCGUGCACGCCCUGGACGCGUGCGCACUCUGCACCAAGCCGCUGGCAAGGGACAGCGACAUCUUCAUGUACAGAGGGGACACGCCCUUCUGCAGCGACGAGUGCCGCCACGAGCAGAUGCGGCUCGAUGCCGCUUGCGCCAGGGCGGCCGCCCGGAGGCAGAAGCAGUUCUCUACGGGAACUGGGUCCGGGCGUGCACGCCGGGAGUGCUGGGAGGUGUCCGUCGCCAGCUAA
rnacentral:rRNA from 1 species